rnacentral:rRNA from 1 species
CCUACGGGUGGCAGCAGUGAGGAAUAUUGGUCAAUGGACGAGAGUCUGAACCAGCCAAGUAGCGUGAAGGAUGACUGCCCUAUGGGUUGUAAACUUCUUUUAUAUGGGACUAAAAUGUUCCACGUGUGGGAUUUUGUAUGUACCAUAUGAAUAAGGAUCGGCUAACUCCGUGCCAGCAGCCGCGGUAAUACGGAGGAUCCGAGCGUUAUCCGGAUUUAUUGGGUUUAAAGGGAGCGUAGGUGGAUUUUUAAGUCAGUUGUGAAAGUUUGCGGCUCAACCGUAAAAUUGCAGUUGAAACUGGCAGUCUUGAGUACAGUAGAGGUGGGCGGAAUUCGUGGUGUAGCGGUGAAAUGCUUAGAUAUCACGAAGAACUCCGAUUGCGAAGGCAGUUCACUGGACUGCAACUGACACUGAGGCUCGAAAGUGUGGGUAUCAAACAGGAUUAGAUACCCCAGUAGUC